AUUGAACGCUGGCGGCAGGCUUAACACAUGCAAGUCGAGCGGGGUGAUGGUGCUUGCACUAUCACUUAGCGGCGGACGGGUGAGUAAUGCUUAGGAAUCUGCCUAUUAGUGGGGGACAACAUCUCGAAAGGGAUGCUAAUACCGCAUACGUCCUACGGGAGAAAGCAGGGGAUCACUUGUGACCUUGCGCUAAUAGAUGAGCCUAAGUCGGAUUAGCUAGUUGGUGGGGUAAAGGCCUACCAAGGCGACGAUCUGUAGCGGGUCUGAGAGGAUAAUCAGCCACACUGGGACUAGGAAACGGCCAAGACUCCUACGGGAGGCAGAAGUGGGAAAUAUUGGAAAAGGGGGGGACCCCUGUCCCACCCAUGCCGCGUGUGUGAAGAAGGCUUUAUGGUUGUAAAGCACUUUAAGCGAGGAGGAGGCUCUUUUGGUUAAUACCCAAGAUGAGUGGACGUUACUCGCAGAAUAAGCACCGGCUAACUCUGUGCCAGCAGCCGCUGUAA
rnacentral:rRNA from 1 species